rnacentral:rRNA from 1 species
UACAGAGGGUGCGAGCGUUAAUCGGAAUUACUGGGCGUAAAGCGUGCGUAGACGGUUACGUAAGUCAGAUGUGAAAGCCCCGGGCUCAACCUGGGAAUUGCAUUUGAGACUGCGUAGCUAGGGUGCGGAAGAGGGAAGCGGAAUUUCCGGUGUAGCGGUGAAAUGCGUAGAUAUCGGAAGGAACACCAGUGGCGAAAGCGGCUUCCUGGUCCAGCACCGACGUUCAGGCACGAAAGCUAGGGGAGCAAACAGG